CAGUCGCCACGGGAAUACGAGGGGAGCUAGCGUUGUUCGGAAUUACUGGGCGUAAAGCGCGCGUAGGCGGCUUUUUAAGUCAGAGGUGAAAGCCCGGGGCUCAACCCCGGAAUUGCCUUUGAAACUGGAAAGCUAGAAUCUUGGAGAGGUCAGUGGAAUUCCGAGUGUAGAGGUGAAAUUCGUAGAUAUUCGGAAGAACACCAGUGGCGAAGGCGACUGACUGGACAAGUAUUGACGCUGAGGUGCGAAAGCGUGGGGAGCAAACAGGAUUAGAUACCCCUGUAGUCCCUGUCUCUUAUAC
rnacentral:rRNA from 1 species